AGUAACUAGAGGUACUACGCUUUGUGAUUAUGUAACGUUGUCAAUUUCACCCAGUUCUCUGGAGGAAAAAGAAGAAAAUUCUGAUCUUUUGUUUCGCAAAUCUUGUUAUAAUGUUCCACAUGAUAAUUAUAAUAAGCUGAGAUCCUGCUUGUUAUCACUGAACAUAUACAGUACCUUUAUUUCCUUAACUAGGAAGAUGUCCUGGAUUGCAAGCACAGAAGCAUAUUCAUCUGCAAAUCCAACUCCUGGUGAGAUUGCUUUUAAUGACAUCUUUCCAGUUCUCCUUCAGUGUUUUCUGACGGUGCUUUGUGGCUACCUAGCUGGAAGAUGUGGGUUGAUAUCAUCGACAGAAUCCAAAGGUCUUAACCUCUUUGUGUCAUAUUUUUCUCUUCCUGCUUUAAUUUUUAAUUCCUUGUCAUCUCUGAAGUUAGAAAAUGUUAACUGGAAGUUUAUUGGAGCAGUGUUUGUUUCUAAAGGAAUCAUCUUUCUUCUGGUUGCUGCAUUUACAAUACUUUUGACAAAACCAGCUAAUACUGGAAAGGCUGGUUUAUAUGGCAUUUUUUGUACACAAAGCAAUGACUUUGCAUUAGGCUUCCCUCUUGUUUUCUCUCUGUAUGCAAAAAACCAUCCAGACUAUGCCAGUUAUCUCUACCUGCUGGCUCCUAUUCAGUUUAUGGUUCUCAAUCCAGUGGGAUUUAUCUUAAUGGAGAUUCAGAAACAAAGAAGUCACAAUAUUAGCGUAGUAUCCCGAAAGACUAUCUUCUUUCAAGUUUGUAAAGGUGUAAUAUCUAAUCCUGUGGUUAUCAUGACUAUUUUAGGUGUACUUGGAAACUUUGCAUUCAACCAUCAGGUGCCAGAAGUUCUCCAGAAAUUUCUUCAUGUACUAGGAUCUGCAUUUUCUGCUACAGCAUUAUUUCUCUUAGGCUUGAACAUGGUAGGAAAGUUCCAGUUGCUGCAGGGAGCUGCAUUGUUACAACCAGCUGUGAUGAUCAUCAUGAAGAUUUUGGUUCUUCCCUUAAUCAUCAGAGAACUUGUAACAGUGUUUUCUUCUAAUGAUUCAUCAGUUGACAUAAAGGACCUUGCAAACUUUGGGUUUUUGUACGGUACUUUUCCCACAGCCCCAACUGUAUUUAUCUUUGCUGGUCAGUUUGGCUUAUCUACAGAAAUGGUGGCUUCUGGCAUGGUGGCGUGUACCUUGUUUUCUGCUCCUCUUGUGUUCGUGUCAGCUGUUUUAUCCCUUGUGUCUGUUUCCACUUCCAUGAAUUUCUACUCAGAACUGUUAAACACCAUGACAUAUGUGAGUGCCAUUAGUCUAGUUUGCUGUAUGUGGGUCAUUGCUGUAUUUUGUAUGAGUAAAAAAUGGAAAAACAUUACACAUGGGAUGACUUUAUGUCUUAUUAUAUCUCAGCUUCUCACAGCUGGUGGGGGUGUUCUUAGAAAAGUGAUAAAUCCACAUAAAACGUGGAUGUUCUACUUACAGUACUUUCUGGCUGCUGGAGGAACAUUUAGUGCCCGGGUCUGGACAGCUCUUCUUUCUCUUCUCUUGGCUUUGCUUCAAUUGAAGGGACUCUGUUUUGUACUUAAAAUACGCUAUCUGAUCAUUAUAAUUGGAUUUGGAAUCUCUCUGACAAUUUCUGGAUUUCUUGCAGUUGGCAUGAUGAAUUUCCCUUUUACUCAUAAUGUAACUGAUCCCAAUUUUCAUUUUGGGGAAAGUCAAGCUUCUGUUUCACUAGUAGUGUUGGCCAGUUGUUUAAUUGUUAUCUUGGCUAGUUUGACAGUUCAACGACGACAACAACUUCAGACUCUAGGAUAUCAGGCUCUCGUUCCUAAUGUUGAUGAUUCUGAAGCAGAACAAGGAGUACGCUCUCAAACAGUGAGAAAAGUAGAGUCUCCCUUCAGAAGUUCUUCUUUUAAUGAAGAAUCACAGCCCUCAUCUUCAAGAAGUGAUCGUGAUGCAUCAAUACAUCCACCAGACAUUGAAGAUUUGGGUCUCUCUGGUUCAGUGAAUGGUUCAUCUGUUGUGGCACGCCUUUGUGACACAGCUCAUGGGUGUAGCAGUAGUAGAAGAAAGGAGUGUGCUUCUCGUGUUCGACAGUAUGUAUCUGAAGAAAGAAGAAUCUUCCAAGAACAUGGGUUAGUGGAAAUAAGUGAUGCUGACACUGAUGAGAUUGUCCGACAUGUUGUGCUUAUUUUGUUGCUCACCCUGUCAAUGAUUGUUGGUCUUGCUUUAACAAUCUGGAUGGUUGUCAUGGAUGAUCUUACAGGAAUAUUUAUAGAGCUGGAGUUUCUUGAUGUCUUCUUGAAUUAUGGUCAAGGAUUCAUCUCGUUCAUCAUUUUUGGUCUGGAUUCUAAACUAGUUGUUAACCCUUGUCUUCGUAUCUGGCGUCGUAUUCGUUAUGGAACAGACAUACUAGUUCUUCCUGCUGAAGAAGAACUAUCGUUGGAUGUUCAUCAAACCUGUGAUCAGUUCCUGAGAUACCAUUAUGAUCAAUAUAAGAGGAAGCUGUAUGCAUCAGCUUCUCCACAACAAACAGAGGAAAAUGAUCAAGACUGUGUGUUCGCUGGAGAUGAACUUGUUGACUGGCUACUAGCAGUAGGCUUAGCUCAUGACAGAAAAGAAGGAGAGCACUAUGGCCGUAACCUUCUCUUGGGUAGAGUAAUUCAACAUGCUACUCAUACUCAUCACUUUCAUGAUGGUGCUUAUAUGUAUUAUCUGUCAGAAAAAAAUGACUAAAUUACUUUUGUAAUAAUGCUAUAUGAAUAUUCAAAACAUGUUUUGUUUUUAUUAAAUACUGAAAUCUAUAAAAAAAGCUUGAUUAGAAUGUGUACCUUCUCAGUUGUGAUCUUGAAGUUUAAUAACGUAAACUAUAAGUGCAUUUGUAUACUUAUUUUAAGAAUUUUGUUUUUUGUUUUUAUUAAUUAUAGUAUACUUUAAUAAUCUUACAUUGCUGGCCAGUUUGUAAUUCAUUUUGAAUUCAUUACUCAACUCUAAUAUUUUCUGAAAAAAAUAAAAAUAGUGUAUUCAGUUAGGUUUUAUUAUUUUAUAUGCAUUUUUUUAAGAAUCUUACGUUUUCAAUUUGAUUCCUAGUUUGAAACUUGUAGAAUAUAGAAAAGCUGUACUAUUUUUGUUUACCUUUUAACUUCAUUAAACAGAGUCUCUUGUUGCUGAUGGUUGGUUUAGAAAAUUUGUUUGUUGAUUUUAUUAUUAUUGUGUGCAGUAUACAUAAUGUAAAAUUAAAAGUUUAUUUCUAGGUGUGUGUUUUAUAUUGUUAAUACAAUUUCAUUUAUAUUUGUACUAAUGAAAGUAAUAAUUAGACAUAAUUUAAACUUGUAGGCAGGAGGCACAGUACACAUUUACUGGAUAAUAGAUGCAGUAUGACUUUACUAUACACUAGGCACAGUACACAUUUAGUGGAUAAUAGAUGCAGUAUUACUACUAUACACUAGGCACAGUACAUAUUUACUGGAUAAUAGAUGCAGUAUGACUUUACUAUACACUAGGCACAGUGCACAUUUACUGGAUAAUAGAUGCAGUAUGACUUUACUAUACACUAGGCACAGUACACAUUUAGUGGAUAAUAGAUGCAGUAUGACUUUACUAUACACUAGGCACAGUAUACACUUACUGGAUAAUAGAUGCAGUAUAACUUUACACUAGGCACAGUACACAUUUACUGGAUAAUAGAUGCAGUAUUACUGCUAUACACUAGGCACAGUACACAUUUACUGGAUAAUAGAUGCAGUAUGACUACUGUACACUAGGCACAGUACACAUUUACUGGAUAAUAGAUGCAGUAUUACUACUAUACACUAGGCACAGUACACAUUUACUGGAUAAUAGAUGCAGUAUGACUACUAUACACUAGGCACAGUACACAUUUACUGGAUAAUAGAUGCAGUAUUACUACUAUACAGUAUACAUUCACUAGCUACAAGGUACAGUAUACAUUCACUAGCUACUAGGUACAGUAUACAUUCAUUAGCUACAAGGUACAUGUGAAUCAGGUAUUCUUAUGCCUGUCCUGAGAUUUUUGAGAAACUACAAACUGUCAAGUGAAAUUUUUAUCCUCCUUUUCAAGUACAGACUUAUCUAUCAAUUAUUCAACCCAUUUGGUUUCCAUGGUUUUAUAAAUGUGCGACCAAGACAUAUUUAUUAUUUUGUGUUUACGGUUCUUUAAGAUUCUUAUUUUAUAGAAAAGUGUCAGAAACAUUAUGGUUUGACUUUUACUACAAUGGCUGCAUUUCUGUUUUUUUAUAUUUUUGUUUUUACUUUAUGGCACAGUUGCGUAAUUUUGGAUAACCACUGAAGAAUAACCUUUGAAUCAUAAAAAGUCUGUUCUCUGUGUACUUUCGCUGUACAUCCAAUUAAUGGUAAUCUUUAGAAAAUGCCUGUUUUUUGAUAUUAUAUGUAUUUAGAAAUUAUUAUUUUAGAUCUGCUUGUAUAAAGUCAGCAGUGGAAGAUUAAUGUUUCAGCAAACAAAACAACUGGAUGAAAUGUUGCUCAGGAUUUGUUUAUAAAUUUGUAAUUUUGUUGGAGAUAUUUAAUGCACACAAGUUAGAAUUUAGGAUCCACUAAUAUAUGAGAUUGAGAGUAAAAUUUAAAUGUUUGACAGUCAAUUUGAAAUGUGAUAAAAAUAUGUAUCCUAUAUUUUGUAAUGGUGAUUUAUUUAUCAGAGUGGAUGCACUAAUUUUUUUCAAUAUAAAGGUCUUGUAUGUUAAGUGAUUUUAUACUUUUAAUAAUUAUGAUUUCUUAAGGUUGUAUAAAUUUAAAGUUAAGAAUUGGUAUAAUAAUAAUGGUGAUAUUUCAGGGUAACUUUCUCUGAAUAUUAAAAGGUUUACAGUAGUGUAAAGAAGCAAGCUUCUAAUUAAACAUGCUUGUAGUUUAUGGAGUGGUAAAUAGCUACUUCUGACUAUUCUGUAAAACAAAAGUUCUUUUAAUUAAAACUAUUUUUUGCUUUAAA
rnacentral:misc_RNA from 1 species